GCACUCCCACCCCUAUCCUUUUUCAGCCGCCACCAGUAGCUUCUUCUCCCUCGCGCGUGUCUUCUUCCCUUGGAGCCGAGCUCCUCUCCUCCAUGGCGUGGCCGAGCUCACCUCCCUGCCGCGAGCUCGCCAACAAUCUCCCCCACUCAGACCUCCAUUCCCCUUGCUGCUGCUCGCCGCGAGCUCUCUCUGGCUUCUUCCCCAGUCGGCGCCCUGUUCACCUGCGACUCCCAUGGCGCCGGCGAAGCUCGAGCAGCCGAGCUCCUUUCCAUGGCGCCCCCUUCUCUCCCAUUGGCGCCCCCUUCAGGCACGGCAACAGGAAGCCCUUCUCCUCACGUGCAGCACCUCUGCUCCCCUUUCCAUGGCGCCCAAGCCCUUCUUCUUCCUCUGCCCAACGCCCCCUCUUCUCCAUGGCGUUAAGAGCAGGGAGCCUUUUCUCCCCUGCGCGCAGGGAGCAGUUCCCUUGGCCGACGCCCUCGGUGGCAGCCAUGGCACCUCCCUCCCUCUCUGCUCGUGCGCAGGAAACCCCUCACGCGCAGGGAAGAACAACAGUCCACCCUCCAAAACACCAAGCAGCGGCAGCAACCUCCAUGGCACCCCUGCUUCCAUCCCAUAGCUGAGCGCCCUUGCUGUUCUCUUCAAUGCCCCUUGGCUGUUCGACGGAAUACCCGUGAGAAAUAAUAUGUUGUGCGCAGCCCCGUCCGUGAUGCCGUCGACCCUCGCUAGUGGUCGACGCCACACUUCGCGCUUGGCCCGUUCGACGAAACGCCAAGCCUUGUGGACAGCCCAUGUGACUAGCCUCGAUUUGUCCAGGUUGUUCACUUGGUAUUUUGUGGAUUAAUCUAUUUAAGCUUUGGUCGAUGUUGUGCAUGUGUGUAUAUGUGUAAGAAAAUGUAUUGGUAUGGAUUGAAGUUCGUGGCGAAAGAAAAAGAAGUAGAAAAGAACUCGGAUGUUUUUAUA